rnacentral:rRNA from 1 species
UACGUAGGGGGCAAGCGUUGUCCGGAUUCAUUGGGCGUAAAGAGCGUGUAGGCGGCCAGGUAGGUCGGUUGUGAAAACUGGAGGCUCAACCUUCAGAGGUCGACCGAAACCAUCUGGCUAGAGUCCGGGAGAGGAGAGUGGAAUUCCUGGUGUAGCGGUGAAAUGCGCAGAUAUCAGGAAGAACUCCCGUGGCGAAAGCGGCUCUCUGGAACGGUACUGACGCUGAGACGCGAAAGCGUGGGGAGCGAACAGG